rnacentral:sRNA from 1 species
GGGAAAUCAUGCAGCCAUCAGGACACAGGCUCCGGGACGUCGAGCAUCAUCCUCUCCUGGCUGAAAAUGACAACUAUGACUCUUCAUCGUCCUCCUCCUCCGAGGCUGACGUGGCUGACCGGGUCUGGUUCAUCCGUGACGGCUGCGGCAUGAUCUGUGCUGUCAUGACGUGGCUUCUGGUCGCCUAUGCAGACUUCGUGGUGACUUUCGUCAUGCUGCUGCCUUCCAAAGACUUCUGGUACUCUGUGGUCAAUGGGGUCAUCUUUAACUGCUUGGCCGUGCUUGCCCUGUCGUCCCACCUGAGAACCAUGCUCACCGACCCUUAUUUGCAAAAGAUGUAUUCGGAAAAUGGAUCAUCACUGCCCGUGGGUGAACAAUUGUGUGGGAGAAAAGAAUCAAAGAUUUUUUGUGCUCUUCACUAUGUAUAUAGCUCUGUCUUCAGUCCAUGCUCUGAUCCUUUGUGGAUUUCAGUUCAUCUCCUGUGUCCGAGGGCAGUGGACCGAAUGCAGUGAUUUUUCACCUCCGAUAACUGUAAUCCUGUUGAUCUUCCUGUGCCUUGAGGGUCUUCUGUUUUUCACUUUCACUGCAGUUAUGUUUGGCACCCAGAUCCACUCCAUAUG